GUCAUAAGAUGAGCUCAAUAAGAACAUAAAUCUCAUGUGGAACAAAAGGGUAAAAGCUCAUUUGAUUUUGAUUUGUUCAAUUAUUAGUAUUUGUUAAAUUG
rfam:Picea glauca, whole genome shotgun sequence.